UACAGAGGGUGCGAGCGUUAAUCGGAAUUACUGGGCGUAAAGCGCGCGUAGGCGGCUUUGCAAGUCGGGUGUGAAAUCCCCAGGCUUAACCUGGGAACUGCAUUCGAGACUGCAUUGCUAGAGUAUGGGAGAGGGAAGUGGAAUUUCCGGUGUAGCGGUGAAAUGCGUAGAUAUCGGAAGGAACAUCAGUGGCGAAAGCGGCCUUCUGGACAGUGACUGGCGCUGAGACGCGAAAGCGUGGGGAGCAAACAGG
rnacentral:rRNA from 1 species